GACGAACGCUGGCGGCGUGCCUAAUACAUGCAAGUAGAACGCUGAAGCGAGGAGCUUGCUCUUCUUGGCUGAGUUGCGAACGGGUGAGUAACGCGUAGGUAACCUGCCUUGUAGCGGGGGAUAACUAUUGGAAACGAUAGCUAAUACCGCAUAACACUGGAUGACCCAUGUCAUUUAUUUGAAAGGGGCAAAUGCUCCACUACAAGAUGGACCUGCGUUGUAUUAGCUAGUAGGUGAGGUAACGGCUCACCUAGGCGACGAUACAUAGCCGACCUGAGAGGGUGAGCGGCCACACUGGGACUGAGACACGGCCCAGACGCCUACGGGAGGCAGCAGUAGGGAAUCUUCGGCAAUGGGGGCAACCCGGACCGAGCAACGCCGCGUGAGUGCAGAAGGUUUUCGGAUCGUAAAGCUCUGUUGUAAGUCAAGAACGAGUGUGAGAGUGGAAAGUUCACACUGUGACGGUAGCUUACCAGAAAGGGACGGCUAACUACGUG
rnacentral:rRNA from 1 species